UAACUAUUGUUAUCCGAGCCGAGUUAUCUAAAAUACGAACCCUCGACUCGAGAUUCAUUACACCACGACGAUUUGUUGUUCUCUACCUCUGAAAGUCAGAGUCGAGAAAGUUAUAAAGUAAGAUGAGCAAGAAAUAAAAGAG